rnacentral:rRNA from 1 species
GACGGAGGAUGCAAGUGUUAUCCGGAAUCACUGGGCGUAAAGCGUCUGUAGGUGGUUUAAAAAGUCCAGGGUUAAAAAUUGAAGCUUAACUUCAAAGGUGCCCUAGAAACUUUUAAACUUGAGGAUGGUAGGGGUAAAGGGAAUUUCCAGUGGAGCGGUGAAAUGCGUAGAUCUUGGAAAGACCACCGAUGGCGAGGCAAGCUUAUCUG